AGACUGGAGGGACGGACCUGCGGGAGCCAGGGCUGCCCCCGAGCUGCAGUUGCCGCUGCUUCCACUGUCGCGCCGCCACUGCCGUCGCUGUCGCUGUCAGCGCCUGUCUGGAGAGUGACAGCGCCGCAAAAGCGGGAGGGAGCACCGAACCCCGCGCGUUUACGAAACAGGUGUAUGUGCCGGUCUCCUGGCGAGUGGACCCAGCUCGCAAGGUAACCAUUCAUGAGCCUGAGGCUGUGAGAAAUGCUCGCUGUGCGAAGGGGAAUUCUCACCAGAUUUUCUAAAGCUGUCCUAGAGAUACACUUUUCAGAUUGAUUCAGCAUUACCAGCUUAUCCAACAAAAGUAUUAACAUACACAUUAACAACGUCGAAAGUAGCCUACUUUAAGAGAAAAUAUGCAGAAGAAGAAGAUUUACAUCAAGAUUACCAUGGGUAUUUUCCAAAACACCUGAUAUUGCCUGAGGACAGGACUUGCAUUCUCAAACUUUCUCUGGAGAAGCUCAGAUUUCUUGAAGACCCAGAAACCUACUUAAGAAGGUCUGUGUUAAUUAACAAUUUGCUGAGGAAGAUCCACCUAGAGACGGAGAAAGAGAGCUAUGAAUACUUUAAAGAAGCUCCGUGUUAUAAGACUGCUUAUUCUGAUACAAGAAAACGGCUGAAGUUUAUGGUACAGGAAUGCUGUUCUCAGUCUCUCUAUUAUGAAGAGCUGCAUUCAUAUCAUAUUGUGCCUUAUGCUUCGGAGAAUGCCAUUUAUGGAAUGGGCUACACUAGCAGCCACUUGGAGCAAAAUUCUCAGUUGCUUAUUUAUAAAAUGAAUUAAAGUAACUGUUAAAGUCCAUUGAUACCUUGUUUCUAAAUGCCUGAACUGUUUAUAGUGAAGAUGUUAACAUAAGGCACUAAUUAUCAGUGCCCUUGAGAUCAAAGAUGAGAUGCAUGCUGAACUGAUUGGAGAGAUCCCUGGUUAUUAUUCAGCAGUCCUUAGUAUCAACCAGCCAAGUUGAAAAUAUGUCCACCUAUCAUAAAGCAGAGAAUAAGUGCUUUAGAAACAUUUUUUUUUUUAAGAUAAACUGUGUAGGAAGGAACCUACAUCAAGUUCUUACACAGAUUUAAACAUUUCAAGUAUCCCCCCCCCAUUUCCAAAUUCUACCACUCUUAGUGGAAAGUAACAAAAAGUAACAGGUUCAGAUUAUUAUUAAAAUGCUUUGGCUUGUCAAGCAUUGUGCCAAAUAAUUGACACCAUUCUCUUUACCAUUAGUGGCAAUUCAAGAUGAGGCGAACAUACUGCAAUUUAACUGCUGAAUGUAAAACCAGAACACUCCACAUGGAUCCAUUUUACUUUUUUUUUUUUUCUUUUUUGGCUUCAUCGAGUUUUCUUGUUAAAAGUGAAAUUUAAUAAAAUAGCCUUAGAGAUGGGCUUACCUCUGA